GGGCUACACACGUGCUACAAUGGCCGGUACAGACGGACGCAAAGCCGCGAGGUGGAGCAAAUCCUAAAAAGCCGGUCUCAGUUCGGAUUGCAGGCUGCAAUUCGCCUGCAUGAAGUCGGAAUCGCUAGUAAUCGCAGGUCAGCAUACUGCGGUGAAUACGUUCCCGGGCCUU
rnacentral:rRNA from 1 species